GGGUGCUUACCAUGCAAGUCGAGCGGAAGGCCCUUCGGGGUACUCGAGCGGCGAACGGGUGAGUAACACGUGAGCAACCUGCCCUAGGCUUUGGGAUAACCCCGGGAAACCGGGGCUAAUACCGGAUAGGACCUUCGGACGCAUGUCUGGGGGUGGAAAGUUUUUUCGGCCUGGGAUGGGCUCGCGGCCUAUCAGCUUGUUGGUGGGGUGAUGGCCUACCAAGGCGACGACGGGUAGCCGGCCUGAGAGGGCGACCGGCCACACUGGGACUGAGACACGGCCCAGACUCCUACGGGAGGCAGCAGUGGGGAAUAUUGCACAAUGGGCGGAAGCCUGAUGCAGCGACGCCGCGUGAGGGAUGACGGCCUUCGGGUUGUAAACCUCUUUCAGCAGGGACGAAGCGCAAGUGACGGUACCUGCAGAAGAAGCGCCGGCCAACUACGUGCCAGCAGCCGCGGUAAGACGUAGGGCGCGAGCGUUGUCCGGAUUUAUUGGGCGUAAAGAGCUCGUAGGCGGCUUGUCGCGUCGACUGUGAAAACCCGCGGCUCAACCGCGGGCCUGCAGUCGAUACGGGCAGGCUAGAGUUCGGUAGGGGAGACUGGAAUUCCUGGUGUAGCGGUGAAAUGCGCAGAUAUCAGGAGGAACACCGGUGGCGAAGGCGGGUCUCUGGGUCGAUACUGACGCUGAGGAGCGAAAGCGUGGGGAGCGAA
rnacentral:rRNA from 1 species